rnacentral:rRNA from 1 species
UAAAAGGUUUCCCUAGUAGCGGCGAGCGAGCGGGAAGAGCUCAAAUUUAUAAUCUGGCACCUUCGGUGUCCGAGUUGUAAUCUCUAGAAGUGUUUUCCGCGUUGGACCGCACACAAGUCUGUUGGAAUACAGCGGCAUAGUGGUGAAACCCCCGUAUAUGGUGCGGACGCCCAGCGCUUUGUGAUACACUUUCAAUGAGUCGAGUUGUUUGGGAAUGCAGCUCAAAUUGGGUGGUAAAUUCCAUCUAAAGCUAAAUAUUGGCGAGAGACCGAUAGCGAACAAGUACCGUGAGGGAAAGAUGAAAAGCACUUUGGAAAGAGAGUUAACAGUACGUGAAAUUGUUGGAAGGGAAACGCUUGAAGUCAGACUUGCUUGCCGGAGCUUGCUUCGGUUUGCAGGCCAGCAUCAGUUUUCCGGGGUGGAUAAUGACGGUUUGAAGGUAGCAGUCUCGGCUGUGUUAUAGCUUUCCGUUGGAUACAUCCUGGGGGACUGAGGAACGCAGCGUGCUUUUUGCGAAAGACUCGUCUUUUUCACGCUUAGGAUGCUGGUGGAAUGGCUUUAAACGACCCGUCUUGAAACACGGACCA